rnacentral:lncRNA from 1 species
CGGCUUCGUCUUCCACCAUUGUUGGUGAAUGUCUUCGUCUCCCCCCUUCUCUGCAUGAUGACCAGAAGGCCCUGCUGGCUAAGUAGCGGCGGAAGAGCGCUCAGCAGUCGUCCUUGUUCGCGGUUUCAGAUGGGGCUCUCCUCGUUUCCACGGACAGUCCCCCCUCCUCCGAUAUCAAGAUACGCUACGCUGCUGAUGAGAG